rnacentral:rRNA from 1 species
AGGGUUUGAUCCUGGCUCAGGAUGAACGCUAGCGGCAGGCUUAACACAUGCAAGUCGAGGGGUAGAUUUUCUUCGGAGAAUUGAGACCGGCGCACGGGUGCGUAACGCGUAUGCAACUUACCUUAUACUGGGGGAUAGCCCGGAGAAAUUCGGAUUAAUACCGCAUAUGCUCACAGUUUCGCAUGGAACAGUGAGGAAAGAUUUAUCGGUAUAAGAUAGGCAUGCGUCCUAUUAGCUUGUUGGUGAGGUAACGGCUCACCAAGGCGAUGAUAGGUAGGGGGCCUGAGAGGGUGGUCCCCCACACUGGUACUGAGACACGGACCAGACUCCUACGGGAGGCAGCAGUGAGGAAUAUUGGGCAAUGGAGGCAACUCUGACCCAGCUAUGCCGCGUGAAGGAUGAAGGUCCUCUGGAUUGUAAACUUCUUUUGUAUGGGGAUAAACUUUUCUACGUGUAGAAAACUGAAGGUACCAUACGAAUAAGGAUCGGCUAACUCCGUGCCAGCAGCCGCGGUAAUACGGAGGAUCCAAGCGUUAUCCGGAUUUCUUGGGUUUAAAGGGUCC